UCAAGCGUCCCCUUCUUCCCCCCUCCCCCUCCUCGGCUCCUACCCUCAAGCUCACUCAACUCAACAAACCUCCAAACGCAAUCCUCCCAAACCCUAGCGAUGGAGUAGCCGAUACGCCUCGCCCGGCCGCCCUCGCUCCACCCGGUCCUGCCGCCGCUGCUCCGCCUACCUCCCGACCGCGACCGCGCCGACGAGGUGAGCGGUGCAAAUGCAGGGGUAAAAAUUCUUCUUUGUGCCAGGGGCUUGAGCUGUGCGCCUCUGCGAAGAAAGUGUGUAUCCACUUUCUGGUAAUUUCUGUUUGAUGAAUGACUCAGAGCAUGCUCAACUGCAGUUGGUAGCAUUAUAUGUGAGUGCUUCUUGUGCAGUUUUCCGCCCCCAGAGAAUAUGGUUGAGUGCAACAAGGAAGAGGCCUUCAGGGCCAGGGAAAUCGCUAUAAAAAAGAUGGAAAGUAAUGAUUUUGUUGGUGCCCGGAAGAUUGUACUUGAAGCUCAAAGGCUAUUCCCAGAGCUUGAGAGUAUAUCCCAUCUGUUAACUGUCUGCAAUGUUCACUGUGCAGCAGAGGUAAGAGUGAACGGAGAGAUGGAUUGAUAUGGAAUUUUCCGAGUGGAGGAAGCAGCCAAUGAAGCCAUCAUAAGAAAGCAAUACCUCAAUCUUACCAGUUCACUUCAUACUGAUAAGAAAAGGUUUCCUGGUGCUGAAGCUGCUUUCAAGCUGGUUUCUGAAGCUUAUUCUAUCCUGCACGAAUCAAUGAAGAGAUAUAGGUAUGACAUCAAAACGAACAGAAAUGCAUUUUGGACCAAGUGCCCAUCCUGUAAGACACAAUAUCAGUACUACUUCCGGAUCCUGAAUAAGAAGGUCUACUGCCAGCAAUGUGGAAGGAGAUUUUUUGCAUCUGCUUUAAAGGAACAGGCCAUGCCCACUUCGUUAGGUGCACAGAUUCCUGUGAAAGCAUUUCGAACUCGAAAAUGUCAAAGGCAUGACACUUGCAGUCAACAAGGCCACCACGUGAAGCCUCCUGCAGGCCAAGUUCGGAUGUGGAAGUUCAAUUUUCAACACUGAAUCAAGAUAAGUCUUCAGUUCCAACUGAAAAUGAUAAUAUGCAUGCAAGGCUGAUGCCAGAUCCUCCUAAUCCAAACAUGGUUGGUACACACAAUUCUGGUAUAGAAGAUGCAUUUACAGUGGCAGAUGCUCCACAUGUUCCUAGUUCUGCAAAACAUUCUUCUGCAGGUGGAAAAACAGAUGGACAGCCAAGUAUUGGUCAGUCAGCGAUGUUACAUGAGGGAGUUGGUUUUCCAAUGGAAAAAAAAUAAUACAGGAGAACGAUCUAUGCCAUACCCUGCUGAUCCAAAGAUUGUUGACCCAGAGAACAUGGGUUUGGUGGAGGAUGCUGAAGUGCUGAGUGCUGCAGUGGAGACAAGUAAGAGAAAACAAGAUGCUGAUGAAAACACUAUCCUGAACUCAGAUAGCAACAAGUGGCAAGGGAAGAAUGAUUCGCCGUCAGCUCAUGUUGACACCAGCUGCAAGCAAAUAUCAGAAGAUAAUGCCACCAGGGCCGACAGACAACUAACUCCUCCAACUCAUGCGUCCAGCGAAGCAACCAUCAAAGAGAAGUUAAGAACCACAGGUACAUGUGACCAGGACACAGAUACCUCUCCUGAACUGGAUACAACCUUGCAGGAAAACACCCAUGGUGCCAAUCAACUCGGCAGCAGCCAACUCUCCCCCUGUAUUUAUAAAUAUCCUACCCUGAAUUCCACAGAUUUGAAGAAGACCGCUCGCCUGAGAUGUUUAAACGUGGGCAGAUAUGGGCUUUGUAUGAUGAUGAUGAUGCUGAUACAUUCCCCAAGCUCUACGGCUGUAUAACAAAAGUUGAGCCAGAUCCUUUUGCGGUGCGUCUGAUCUGGCUCAAGGCCUUCCCUCAGAAGGAGCAGGAGAAACGGUGGAUGGGGCAGGGGAUAACCAUCAGCUGUGGCACAUUCAGAGUUAUGAAUCAGGGAGCUCGGUACGACACGACUUGCUGUUUCUCUCAUCUAGUAGAAGACACUGGAACCACUACACUGUUCGAGGUUGAGAUUCUUCCACAAGUAGGCAGGUUUGGGCUGUGUACAUGAACUGGGAGCCUGACUGGUCUCCUUCCAGCAUAAAUGCUUUGUUCAAACCUGAUGAUGGAAGGGGGGUCUUGGAGAUCCCUACUGGUGAAAACACGAGGCUCUCGCACCGCAUACCUUGCUUCCGUCUGACCGGAGGAGGCGGCGGCGAGCACCGUGUCCUGUACGAGUUGGAUCCUCCUUCCGUCCCUUGCGGUUUCCUGUGCAGCGACCUGCGAGGACACCCCGUGACUUGCAAGUGUCUCUAGUGGACUGAUCUUGAGGUAGUGGUAGCAUUGAUCAAACCUUUUGGAUUUUUAUGUGCCUUUGAUUCGCUAUACCUGGUAUAUAUCGAAGCCUUUUGGUAUGCAUCAAGUCCAUGCCAGCAUGUGGAUGGUAACGCAGAGGCUUCCUUCCUUGUCCAUUGUCAAUUUGCAGAGCUUUUAGGCCUGCAUUAUGUUUCUAACCUGAAGAGUUGAUUUUAGCAAGUCUCGUCUAGUACCUAA